rnacentral:rRNA from 1 species
UACGUAGGUGGCAAGCGUUGUCCGGAAUUAUUGGGCGUAAAGCGCGCGCAGGCGGUCCUUUAAGUCUGAUGUGAAAUCUCCCGGCUCAACUGGGAGGGUGCGCCGAAUACUGAGGGACUAGAGUACGGGAGAGGAAAGUGGAAUUCCUGGUGUAGCGGUGAAAUGCGUAGAUAUCAGGAGGAACACCGGUGGUGUAGACGGCUUUCUGGACCGUAACUGACGCUGAGACACGAAAGCGUGGGUAGCAAACAGG